AUCCGUACUUCGGGAUAAGGAUUGGCUCUAAGGAUCGGGUGUUUUGGGCCUUGUGUAGACGCGGUGGUGACUGGUGGCGGGCUGUUUCACGACGGACUGCUGUUGGACGCUGCUGUAGACACGCUUGGUAGGCUCUUGUAGCCGUCCGGGGCACGCUUAACGAUCAACUUAGAACUGGUACGGACAAGGGGAAUCUUACUGU
rnacentral:rRNA from 1 species